ACUCCUGUGACGCAGUGGUUAGCGUGUCGUUCUUAUAUUCUUCGGUUCAUGAAACUGAUUAAUAUGGUAAUGCGAAAGCCGUGAGUUCGACCCUCACCAGGAGUA